UCGGGAAUUUUGGGCAAUGGGGGAAACCCUGACCCAGCAACGCCGCGUGAAGGAUGAAGUAUUUCGGUAUGUAAACUUCGAAAGAAUAGGAAGAAUAAAUGACGGUACUAUUUAUAAGGUCCGGCUAACUACGUGCCAGCAGCCGCGGUAAUACGUAGGGACCAAGCGUUGUUCGGAUUUACUGGGCGUAAAGGGCGCGUAGGCGGCAUGACAAGUCACUUGUGAAAUCUCUGGGCUUAACCCAGAACGGCCAAGUGAUACUGUCGCGCUAGAGUGCAGAAAGGGCAACUGGAAUUCUUGGUGUAGCGGUGAAAUGCGUAGAUAUCAAGAGGAACACCUGAGGCGAAGGCGAGUUGCUAGGCUGACACUGACGCUGAGGUACGAAAGCUAGGGGAGCGAACGGGGAUUAGAUACCCGAGUAGUCCCUGAG
rnacentral:rRNA from 1 species